GGGGUUGUGGCUCAGAGGUAGAGCACUUGCCUAGCAUGUAUGAGGCACUGGGUUCGAUCCUCAGCACCACA
rnacentral:tRNA from 1 species